CCGAAACACAUGCAAGUUUAGACAUAACAUAGUCUUUCUCCACGUCUAGACAUAAUACUUCAAGUUGCCUAGCCACAAAACAAAAAUAGUUAUAGUUCCGUAAUGUUCAGUGUAUUUCCUCAUCCCCAUUUUGUAUGGGUCUAAUUCUCAUCCCCUUUUCUUAGUUUUCGGCUGCAAAUUCCUUACUAUAGGUAGCAUUUGCUUUGUAAUUAGUUAGUGUUGAGUUAGUUAAUACAAUCAGUUGGUUUUGUAUAUUAUCUGGGUUGUUUCAUUGGUGUCCAAAGGUCUAAUGGGGGACCAAAAGUACUCAAGGCUUUCGCUGAUUCCAUUCAAUAAAUGAAGGAUUGCCUUUCUAACGAUCGCGCUGAAUUUCGUUCAUGUUGUGGGGAAAAAGGCUACGACCUCUUUUUAACCCGAAGACGCUACCAUGGUCGCCAAAUUAUGGCGGUUUUGAGGCGAGAAUCUGGAGGCUUGGAUAUUCCAAGCGGAGCGUUAAGCUUACCAUAGCGGUGAAGAAUUCGAAUGGUACUGGUGGUUAUUUCGUAACAAGCAAUUAAUUGAUUGGCCGCAUUUUGCUGAUAAGGUGAAAAUUCGAUUAAACAGAAAGGGCUCGAGUCGGUUAAAGGGAGAUUAGCGAAACUCCGGCAGGUUACCUCUGUGGCUCAGUACCAAAGUCAUUUUGAAGCUAUUUCGUGGUGCUUCAGUAAGUCAAUGUAGUUUCUCCAUGCUUUGCAUAUGUUCAUCCACAAUGGAGCAUAUUACCAACUCACCUUUGCCGCAAAGCUACGAUGAGCAAUCUGAAUGCAUUAGCAAAACAGGUGCGCGCAAGGUGUUCGAUGAAUCGUCUGAUAGGUCCAAAAUGCAAAUACUCUUGGUACAACUACUGAGGCAGAUUCUAUUGAUCUGGCUUAUCCUGUCUCUGUGAAGGCUGAUGUGUGUGUAUGUGCUUGUUGUUCUAAUAUGGAAAUGGUGUCGGUUGCGGCAUUUGCAUGCGUGAAGUGUAAGAGGGAAGAAGAUAAAAACUGCACACAAGUCUUGUUCCAAGAAGCAAAAAUCAUAGGUCAUCCGGGCAGCGGAUUCUUUGCAGAAAACAAUUAUGUUCGGCUCGGCCUAGUGACGCGUGAGCAUGACUUUGAUAUGUUGAUUCCUUGUUUGGAACAAUUGAUUUCUCAAGAAGAUGAAAAUGGCGUAUGCACUAUAUAAUCAGCGGAUUGAACUACACUCAGCAUUUUUUACAACAUAAAUAUUGAAUUCAUCAUAACAGUUCAACUCAGUGCCAUGGCAAAUAAACAUAAUAUAUAUGAGGUGUCCAAGACUCGAAAGGCAGAGUUGCAAGAACUGCUUCACUCUACGCUGCAAGCUAAAGAUAGUGAAUGAAGCUACAAGCAGAGAAAUUGGAAGCUUGGCAUUCAAUUCGUGUUGUCCCAUUUCUUGUAGCCAGGAAACCAUUUUGG